GGGGAGUACGGUCGCAAGAUUAAAACUCAAAGGAAUUGACGGGGACCCGCACANNCGGUGGAUGAUGUGGAUUAAUUCGAUGCAACGCGAAAAACCUUACCUACCCUUGACAUGUACGGAAUCCUGCCGAGAGGUGGGAGUGCCCGAAAGGGAGCCGUAACACAGGUGCUGCAUGCCUGUCGUCAGCUCGUGUCGUGAGAUGUUGGGUUAAGUCCCGCAACGAGCGCAACCCUUGUCCCUAGUUGCUACGCAAGAGCACUCCCAGGGAGACUGCCGGUGACAAAUCCGGAGGAAGGUGGGGAUGACGUCAAGUCCUCAUGGCCCUUAUGGGUAGGGCUUCACACGUCAUACAAUGGUCGGAACAGAGGGUUGCCAAGCCGCCGAGGUGGAGCCAAUCCCAGAAAACCGAUCGUAGUCCGGAUCGCAGUCUGCAACUCGAGCUGCGUGAAGUCUGGAAUCGCUAGUAAUCGCGGAUCAGCAUG
rnacentral:rRNA from 1 species